GACGAACGCUGGCGGCGGGCUUAACACAUGCAAGUCGAACGGAAAGGCCCUGCUUGUGUGGGGUGCUCGAGUGGCGAACGGGGGAGUAACACGUGAGUAACCUGCCCUUGACUUUGGGAUAACUUAAGGAAACUGGGGCUAAUACCGUAUAGGAUCUCCUGCUGCAUGGUGGGGGUGGGAAAGUUUCGGCGGUCGGGGAUGGACUCGCGGCUUAUCAGCUUGUUGGUGGGGUAGUGGCUUACCAAGGCUUUGACGGGUAGCCGGCCGGAGAGGGUGACCGGCCACCUUGGGACUGAGAUACGGCCCAGACUCCUACGGGAGGCAGCAGUGGGGAAUAUUGCACAAUGGGCGGAAGCCUGAUGCAGCAACGCCGCGUGCGGGAUGACGGCCUUCGGGUUGUAAACCGCUUUCGCCUGUGACGAAGCGUGAGUGACGGUAAUGGGUAAAGAAGCACCGGCUAACUACGUG
rnacentral:rRNA from 1 species